rnacentral:tRNA from 1 species
GCGAGCGUAGCUCAGUUGGUAGAGCGUCACGUUGCCAACGUGAAUGUCGAGGGUUCAAAUCCCUUCGCUCGCUCCA